CAUUAAGAGCAAAGAUAUAAACAGUUAAUGUUAGUAGUUUUGACACUGAUCUACAUCUUCAAAACACCUCCUUUGUCCAUGCUGACCCAUCAUGCAAACUUUGUGCUAUGGUCCUAAAACUAACCAAAGCAGCAACUUAUCCAGUUAUCCUCGAUCAGAUGCCCAUAACAGUUCCUACGGUCCAUCCAUUCCUCGAGAAAUGUUUAACAUAUUAAUUAAAUUACAUGUACACAAGUUUAAUCGCAGAACCAAACUCCAUUGGGCAUUAGGCUUCUCAAUUUGAGGCAACGAGUAUGAGCUGCAAUUAUCAGAAAUGUUUAACAUAUUAAAGUUGUUGAAGAAGUUCAUGGCAAUGACAUAUAUACAGUUCUAGUACAACAUUCUUAUAUUCUAGGUAACUUACAUAUACGCUCAUGCUGGUUACACUUACAGAUCACUUUGGUUAAAGUCUUCCGUGUCUCUUUUCAUUUGG
rnacentral:lncRNA from 1 species